rnacentral:lncRNA from 1 species
CCCCGCUGCAUUUUGUAAACCUGGGGUUUCAUGAGAUCUAGACCAGCCCUCACCAAACUUUGGGUUCAGAGACUUUCUCAGUUUCUCCGGAAACCAGCGGAAGAGAUGAACAUGAAAACAGUCCUCAGACAUAGUUAGGAGGUGUAAUGGAGCUGUGACACCUUCAGUAUUGUGCCUAUCUCCACUCUAAUUCACAAGUUGAAGUCUUAGCCCACAGUGCAACUGGAUUUAGAGAUAGAGGUUUUAGGGAGGUAAAGUUAAGUGAGGUUUUAUGGAUAGGCCCUAAUCUGAUAGGACAGGACUGGUAUCCUUAAAAGAAAAGGAAGAGGCACUGGAGACACAGUCCCAGAGAAGAAAGAACAUGUAAGGACACAGGGAGAAGUCAACGGUCUGCAAGCCAGGAAGAGAGCUCUCCCCAGAAACCAAAUCUACUAGCACCAUGGUCAUAGAUGUCUAGUCUUCCGGACCAUGAGAAAUAAAUUUCUAUUUUCUAAGUCAUCCCCAGACUGCAGUAGCUUGUUAUGGCAGCCCACAUAGGCCAAUAAUAAAAGCAUAGACAGGGCAAAUGAAUUUGAGGAUGGAGGAGAAAGUAGCCCCAGCAAAUGGGACUCAAGAGUACAGUAUAUGUAUGGAACCAUACAUAAUAAUAGUCCAUUCUUGGUAACAUGACAGCAGAAGGGGAAUGGUGGGCAAAUGAGCCGUGACAAGUAGGUGGAGGAUAGUCACAAGGGGUGUGGUAAACCAGGUUGAAGAAUUGGGUUUUUAUCUGAUAGAUGUGGGGUGCCUAUCAGGAGAGGGUCCAAGUCAGAACAAAGAAGAAUGGGGGAGGAGGAGAGCGGUCAGAUGACUAAUGCAGUAGCCCAGGUGAGAAAGGGUGUGGCUCUCAACUAGGCCAGUAGGGCAGGAGACAGGGAGAGAGAGAGGGGUGAGGGGAGAGACGCUGUUUUAGGGCAGAGGAAAUUGAGUCACAUGGGGCUGUAUGCUGCUUGGAAUAUUUUGAUUAUAUGUAAAAUGACUUGACUAUAGCCAUGGAUUUAAUCUACUUAGGAGGAAAAGUGUUUGGAAUUCUAGUAUUUCAAAGAAGUAGCAGUAGAGGUUUGCUAAGGUCCCAGAUCUGCAGCCUGGUCUGUAGUUUGGUCUGUUUGGAAGCCAGCAGGAUGCAAACAGGAUGGCCGGAGGCAUGGGGCAGGAUCUGCCUCAGGCUUCGGUAGCAACAUCACAUUUCUUAGCAGAAUGCUGGCUUUGCCUCCUACUUUUUUUUUUUUUUUUUUUUAGCUGAAACUGGAACAGGAGAUUACAAUGCCUUACUUAGUGGUGGUCAAACUUGGUAACUAUUUUGCUUGGAGCAAAAGCACUUUGCCCAGUCCAACCCAACCUUGAUGUAUCUUUGGGUGAAUCAUACUCUCUCUGCCCUAUAAUUUCUCAAAAGUGAACCACUUGAGUUAAAUAGUCUUUUUUUGUGCUAAUAUUCUGUGCAUCAAUAUUUAACAACUUGUGUAAAAAUAUAUAGAAAUCGAGAGUUGGGGGAAGAUGAAGGUCUUAUGUCCAAGGAUAAUGUCUAAGUCGGUCUUGAAGUGACAAGCUUUAAAUCCAAAUCAUUUUGCUCUGAGCCUGGACUCAUGGAUUCAUGAGUGACUCUAUAGGGAAGAGAAUAUUCACAAAACAUCCAGUCCAGCUUUAUUCUACGUGUGAAGAGACUGAGAAAUGUGAAGGGAGUAAUCUGGUCUCAUACAGUGUGUUAGUAGGAGAGUCAGAAACCAAACCCAGGGCUCCUGACCUAAUCAGGAACCAAACCCAGGGCCACAAGAGGCACUGGCAAAACACCACAGGCACCUUGUGGGUGAUGCCCCUGGAGUUGUUCAAGGUGGGGCCCUGCUGCUGGCUCUCACCUUAGCAGCCCUCUCACGAUAUGUGUCUAACUGUAGGACAGUUGUCACCUCUCUGAUAGCCUACUCUUGCCUAUUUGAGUGCUUCUAUGGCUAGGUAUACUCAGUGCAUCACAAAGGGGCGUGUUUCUUUGCUUUUCUCUUCACGGGCGACCCAGUACAAAUGAGAGCCAUGUCGUACUGGUGUCUCUACCUCUAACAUGUAGCACAGGUGGCUCAUUUAAUGGACACAGAGUGAAUGAAUAUAAUGGAUGCACAACAGAGCGAAUAUAAACUGAGAAAGGUCCUGGAGAAUAGAGAAAGAGAAGAGGCUUAGGAACCUGCAUUCCAAGAGGGCGUAAAUAAGACUAGGGUUCCCUCUCAGCUGGUGAUUUCUUGGAUUUAUAGGUCAUCACCCUCAUUAUGGACAGCUCCUCUAAGCCCUCAGCAGGAAAUGCCUCCGUAUCAGGCUCGAUGGCCCAUAUUGAAGACAUAAUCCCUCGGCCCAUGACUCACCAAUGGAUUCCAGAAGGCACAGUGUGGGUGGCCUUCCUCUAUCAAUCAAUGGUGGGACAUCCUGGCUUGUGAUUGGAGCUCCAACUUGCCACCCAAGCUUAUAGGUUUCUUCUAAUGAGGCCUGUAUGGAGACCUCUGGCCAUGAGGCUGGCUCAGUUUCUAACCACCCACCAGGAGACUCAGGAAGCCUCCAUAAAAACUGGCUUUUAUGACCACUGACACCCUUGAGUGUGGUCAUUAUGAUUAUUUAGCAUCUGUGAGACACUCUUCAUGCAGUGGGGGCCAGGGAAAGGCAGUUUGGCAGCUUCGACACAAAUGGAUGUUUCUGUCAAUCCCCAAAAUGUUCUUCCUCCCACUGAGAUGAAUUCUGCACAACUGCAUUCAGGAGCUCAUAUAGGCCAGGGUGGAGGUAACUUUAUGUGUCCUGUAUGGACCCAGGUAUUUCUAAGGGAGCUUCUUUAAUCAAAACCCAACAGAGGGGAACCUUCAGUGAACCAGGUUUGGACUUAGGCACUGGCAUUGAUUUGUUCUCUGAGUGACGUUGAUGUACAAAGUCCUUCAUUCAUUCGCUGUCACUCAGUUCCAUAUGUAGACUUCUUCUUUAUGUCAGACCCUGUGUCUGGACUUGACCUAUGUGAUAAAUAAGACAACCAGACAACUCAAAUAUGUGGAGAAGAUAGGCAUGCAAGCAAAAUAUUAAUAUUACAGAUGACGUGUAAGAGCCGAGCUCACAGUAGAGUGGGGGCCUUGAGAAAGGAGCAGCCAACUCCACUGAGCAGGGCCAUGCCGGAGGGCUUUGCAGGAGAACAAGUUCCAGGUGGCCCUUGAUGAAUGAUGACAGUUUUGGCAUAUGUGAGUGAAGACCUUCCAGGCAGGGGAAUGCCUGCUGCCUUUGGAACAGCAGUCACGUUUCUUGGGGUGCACUUCCUUGUGGACACACUUGGAGCAGCUCCCCGCUCUCUGAUCCCCAUCCCUCCCGCCACUUCCAUGAGAUUCCCUACUGCCCACCCCUUCAAUGCCAGUGUUCCCCAGCAUCCCUCCAUGGCUUUCUCACCCUAUACCCCUCUCAGAGGAACUUUCUUACUGUGGUGAUCCCCCAAAUGAUAUCCCACCCUGAUGAGCUUCUUCCUGAACUCCACUCUGCACCUGGCCCCGAUGCUCAUGGAUGCCCUUACCUGAUGGAGAUGACUGUCUGCUCCGGAAACCUUUGUUCAUUCCACAUUUAGCAUCCACAUCCAGCCACUUACUGUAUCCUCAAGCUGCAAGUUACCCUAGGUUCCUCACUUGCCUGGGUAAGUCACAGCAAGCCCAUCAUUCAUCCAUAUGUUAGACUGCUUUUUUUUUUUUUUUCCAGUUCUUUCAUUGCCAGGACUCCCGCCGCAGUAGGUGAAGGAGAGAUAAAGGAAAUAGGGUCCUGGCCACUGUGGAGCCGAUAGUCACAUUAGAAGAAGGAUACAGGAACCGGUGGGUCUCACCGUGGGUGCAGAGCUCAGCAACAGAGGGGUGUAGAGGACAGUGGCGGCCCAUAUGCCAGUUGGGUCCCUGGGGCGAGGCUAAGCUUCCUCAGGGAAGGCGGUGCCUGUGCUGAGCCUCACAGACUGAGCGGAGCUGUGUAGAGGGAGAUGAGGAGGGAAGGAGACCUUCUAAGGACAGGGAAAUUACAUGAGGAAAUGGACAGGGCCACAAAUGAUGGUACCAUUGGCUUUUAACAUCUGUUUCCCUGAAAAACAAAACCUGGCUGGAAAAUAGCCUUGAAAACUAGAGAUCACAAAUCUCCAGGAAGUGGGGGAAACAUUUCUCAAGUGGGGCUGGCUGCCUUUGUCCCUAUUUUCAUAGGGGAUGACAUGGACAUAGGGUGAAGAUAAUGGCUCUUUUUUAACAGAAUGACUGAGAACCUGAGGUGGCAGGAGGCUUAGGAGCAUGAGGAAGCACCUUCAGUGUUGAGACAUAAUAUCCCCAAAUGCUUUGGAAGCUAGAAAGAUUUUCUUUUUCCCCACACAGGGGCUGGGGCUGUAGCUCCUGGGUUUGACCUUGACCUCUCUGGGUUGAAUCCACAGAGGCCCAGCACAGAGUAGUGCACUGUUGAGCAAUGCGGACUGCUGGGAGUGCAGCAGCAGCAGACAACAGAGCCUGGCUUCUCCUCAUGGGGGCCUUGGUUACCUUGCUGACCCACUGACUGCCAGCCACAGUGGGACCUCUGCUCUCCACCACCUCCCGCUAGGAAUGCCGGGAUGUUUGAAACAUCCACACCAGAAGGCGAGCAGGGGACUUGAACUCUGCCCACCCCCAGCUUCAUUCCCCUCAGCCUCCACGUGUUUCUCAUUACAGGGCUGAUGGAAGGGUCUGCUGUGGUUGGCUGAUUUGUCAUCAUGUCCUCCUCCAACUCAGGCCUCCAGAAAGGCUGUAUUCUUAUAGGGAAAGGGGUUUGAAGAAGAAAGCACAGUUCUUUUUUUUGCAGGGGAGAGAUGGAUUUUAGAACAAGUCUACAUAUUGAUUUUCUUUCUUUUUCUUUUUGUGUGUUUAUUUGCUUUAAAGGGCAGGGGUUUUCUGUUGCCUGCGGGCAGAGCAACAUCUCAGGCAGUUCUUUGGAGCAGGUGAAAUGGAGCUGGCCUGGAAAUGAGGGUGAUGACUAUGGAGUCGUCCAGCCCUGAGCACCACCUCCUUGUCUGUAGGAGAUUGGUAGCUGCUGUGUUUUAAUUUUUACUCUUUAUGGAUGCACAUCUAUCUCUGUGGCCUUUUGCCUUUGCUCUGAGUAGAUUCUGCUCACGCACGAGAGCUGACCCAUCAGCAGUUUGCAUGGCACCAUCCUGUUACCUCGGGCCAUAUGGACUGCUGGCUCAGGUCCUUGAGGCCCAGGUCUUGUAGGAGGUCGGUGAACAUGGUCAUUUUUCUCGGUUUAUACUCCAACAAUGGCUGCCACCUGCCCUCUGAUAAACAGCCUAUCAUCGUUCAUGACUGAAAUCAGGGCCAGGUUGGUGGAAGUUCUGAGAAUGUUCUGGAACAUUUCCUUUAGGGUCAUAACCAUAAUUUCUGACUUAUCAAACCUUGUGAUAUAGAAUGAGCAAGGUAACAGAAUAUAAAUAGCAAAGGAAACCAAGAUGAAUGUGGAAAUGUGCCAGAGAUAUCAGGAGAGGAAACGGUGAAGGAGCCAAAGAGACUCUUUAGAGAAUGAGCUGGAAGUGAGGGGGAGAUAACCUAACAGUGGAUGAAAAGGGACUCUGGUAUUGACUGCCUGAAGUGAACCCAGCCUCUGUCACCUAUUAGCUGUGGGAGCUGAGGUGAGUCACCGUCCCACUGUGAAUCUCAGGUUUCCCAGCUCAAAGGUGGAUAAUAUGACCCAGGUCACUGUGAGCAUGAGGGACAAUGCACGAGAGCUUAACACAGCCUAGCAUCUAAAAGAGCCCCCAUGGUAGCCAUAGAAACUGCAUGUUUACAGUGCACCAGGCAUUAUAUUAAGUAAUUUAACUUACUAGGCUAGUUUGAUCUUAAAAGUCACUGUACAGUUGAGGAAACAGGUUUGGGGGGUUUAAGUAAAUGCCCAAAGUUAUGUAGCUGCUAAAUGUGAGAGCUGAGAUUCAAACUUAAGUGAUAGUCUGUCCUAGAAGCUAAUAGCUUCAUAAUUGACGGUAACAGUCCUUUAUCUAGAAUUUGGGAGUGAGAAUUUGGGGGUGAGAAUUGGGGGCCAUUUUCAACCAAGAAUAUUAGAAGAACAAUAAAUGACAGAAGUCAUUUAAAAAUUCCCAAGAGCCAGGUGACAAAACAUUUGCACUAAGGUUAUUUAUUUAACCUUCAUGUUUGGCCUGGAAAAGCUAUAUUAUCAUCUGUAUCUUAGAAACAAGGAAAGAAAGGCUCAGAGGUAUUGCACAGUUAAAAUGAAAUGGAAGUCCAUCUGGGCCUUGAAGUCAGGCUUCUCCCCGUCACCCCUGCCACCUCCAGGAAAUCCAUUCAGGGCCUCAUAGUAGGGGCUGCGUGACAUCUCCUGGGGUGGCCCGGGAGGCUUAUCCUGGACUUGCGUCAGAGCUGACAGGGAAGGACGAGAACCAUGAAUAAGUUCCCAAGACACUGGGUCUGAAAUCAGACUCCCAAGGGUAGUGAAGAGGGCAAUUGGAAAGUUACUGCUUGUGGUCGGAGGAAAGUUCGGAAGGAACAUCAGAGGGUAGGGAAGAUGGAUAGGAGGGUCUGUAUUUAACACUGGCCCAAGGUGAGGAAGGAAGCGAUCAGCUUAAUUUUAGAAAGGCUCAGACUCUAAAGGCUCCUAAGGUAUGAGGCAUGGGAACUUGGGUGAGGACGAUGUGCCAUUUGUCAUCCACUGGUCUCCAGAGGAGUGGCUGGGGCUGAGCUUGAGAUGAACUCCCAGCUGCAUAGAGAAAGGGGGCACUUUGCACAGCUAGUCCAGAGUUAGGUGGAAUCGAUCAAGUGACUUAUUUUCUCACACUGAGCCCAGUGGGAUAAUAAUACAUUAAUACAUGCAUGUAUUAAUUUUCAUUAAGAAUCACAUGAGACAACAGUGCAAGAAUCUAGGGAACUGCUUGGCCCACAAAUUCAUAUAGUUAAUAUUCUCUGAAGGAAUCUUCAUGGGGAGAUGAAAUGUUUCUGAAAGGGUGUCUUCAGGGGAUCAUGAUAAAAGUAUUUUCAUCUCGCUCUGAUUUCUUUUUUUUUUCCUCGCUCUGAUUUCUUUAGGUUCAGAAGGCGUUUCUCCUAUCUGCUGUGUUUGGGCUUUACUGAAUCUCUACUGCACUCUGAAGAUUUGAAGGCUUAUUGAUAACUGUGUGAUUUCCACAAUUCUGUACUCAAAUGUUGGCAUCAAGUAUUGUAGGGGAGCCUCUACCUGCAAAUAACUUGAAGGACAAGAGUGACAACUGCCGUGUGCUGUGCACCAUCUACUUUCAGCUGGAAGUGUCCAUCCCGUUUCAUCUCUUCAUUCCUGUGGACGAUCCUUGGGCACAGGGUUAAUCCAGGAGGAGGAUUUAGUAACAAGGUUGCCUGGCCUCUGGGCCUGGGCGGGAGAGCUGUUGUUCCAGCCCUGUCCCUCAGCCACACUGAUCAGAGUGGGGCUCCGAGCUUCAUUUGGGAGACAGAGCAGCAGUCACCCUGAAUCUCACCCUGCAGACUCUGGGGUUCAGAGGUUGGGAGGGCAGAGCUGCAGGCCCAGGCAGCAAGAGUAGGUGGAGACUUCGCAGCAGCUGCAGCAAAAGGGAAGGACUGGCCGAGAGUGCUGCACUCUGUGCUCCCAGACAUCUGGAGGAAACUUUGGGCAUGCGCAGGACCUCAAGCCUGGCAGCCAGCUGUGAAGGCCGGUGCCCAUGAGACACUCAGCUCAUGUCAUUUCUCCCAUCCGACAGGGGAGUCCACCUGCCCAGCCCCACCUGGAGUCCUUUCACUUCGCCUUGCAGCAGGAAAGUGCCCAGAGAUGUUAGCCAAGGCCACAGUUGGCCAUUGCUGCCCUAGAGGCUUAUACGUGGGUCUUGGACUCCAGGGACACCGGUGAGGUCACUGGGCCUCAGAGGCUGGAGUUGGGGGCACCAGUGUGCCCCCAUGGUGAUGUCUGAAGAACGCAUCCCAUCCCAUGAGUCCUUUCGCAGGGCAGGCGCUGGGCUCUGAAAGCUGCCCUCACAAAGAUGCCUGCAGCUCCCACUCUUUCCAGAGGAGCCAUCAGCCCUCGGCUAGGAGGGCAAAGGUCACUGUGCUGAGAGAAUGACCUCUUUCUCUCAGAAAGCUGCUGCUUUCAGAGCUGUGGCCACCCCAGCCUGGCCAUCACGCAGGCCUGCACCAAGAAAUAAAAGGUUCUCACAGCCGGGUAGGCGCUGUGACACAGUUUAAUUUGCUGUAA